rnacentral:rRNA from 1 species
GACAGAGGGUGCAAACGUUGUUCGGAAUUACUGGGCGUAAAGCGUGUGUAGGCGGCUUUGCAAGUCGGAUGUGAAAGCCCCGGGCUCAACCCGGGAAGUGCACUCGAUACUGCAGAGCUUGAGUAUCGGAGAGGUUGGUGGAAUUCUCGGUGUAGAGGUGAAAUUCGUAGAUAUCGAGAGGAACACCGGUGGCGAAGGCGGCCAACUGGACGAGUACUGACGCUGAGACACGAGAGCGUGGGGAGCAAACAGG